rnacentral:rRNA from 1 species
CAGGCCUAACACAUGCAAGUCGAACGAGAAGCUGGCUUCUGAUUCCUUCGGGAUGAGGAGGCCGGUAGAAAGUGGCGAACGGGUGAGUAACGCGUGGGUAAUCUACCCGUAAGUGGGGGAUAACCCUCCGAAAGGAGGGCUAAUACCGCAUAAGAUCUUCGCUUCCCAAGAAGAGAAGAGGAAAGUUGGCCUCUAUACUAUGCUAUCGCUUUCGGAUGAGCCUGCGUCCUAUUAGUUAGUUGGUGGGGUAAUGGCCUACCAAGACCACAAUGGGUAGCCGGUCUGAGAGGAUGUACGGCCACACUGGGACUGAGAUACGGCCCAGACUCCUACGGGAGGCAGCAGUGGGGAAUAUUGCGCAAUGGGGGAAACCCUGACGCAGCGACGCCGCGUGGAUGAUGGAGGCCUUUGGGUUGUAAAGUCCUGUUCUGGGGGAAGAAACCUUAAGGGUCCAAUAGGCCCUUAAGCUGACGGUACCCCAAGAGAAAGCUCCGGCUAAUUAUGUGCCAGCAGCCGCGGUAAUACAUAAGGAGCAAGCGUUAUCCGGAAUUAUUGGGCGUAAAGAGCUCGUAGGCGGUCUUAAAAGUCAGGUGUAAAAUUAUCAGGCUUAACCUGAUAAGGUCGUCUGAAACUUUAAGACUUGAGGAUAGAAGAGGAAAGUGGAAUUCCCGGU